GUUCCAUUUCUCACUGACCAUGCAGGCGCACAUUGUGGAAAUACUGGUUUAACUACUAGUGGUUACUGCCUCGUUUAUCUACAGAAUAUUAUUAACUAGAACAUAAUGCUUUCAAAGUUUAAGUUAAUGAUUGUUAAAUCCAAAUUCACUUUUACUGAAAAAUACUGUACAUGUGUAAAAUGUUCAGUUGUUUUUUUGUAAAAUAUAGUAGAAUGGUUGUAAUUGAUACUGGCCAAAAUCAAUGUUAUUCCAUAUUUUAUUUUUUCUAUUAAAUUAACCUAAGUUCCUGUUU
rnacentral:lncRNA from 1 species